rnacentral:rRNA from 1 species
AAACUUUACAAUGCUGGAAACAGCGAUAAGGGGACCUCGAGUGCCAGGUUACAAAUCUGGCUGUCGUGAUGCCUAAAAAGCAUUGCAUAGCAAGGGCCGGGCAAGACCGGUGCCAGCCGCCGCGGUAACACCGGCGGCUCGAGUGGUAACCGUUAUUAUUGGGUCUAAAGGGUCUGUAGCCGGCCGGAUAAGUCUCUUGGGAAAUCCAGCAGCUUAACUGUUGGGCUUUCAGGAGAUACUGUCUGGCUCGAGGCCGGGAGAGGUGAGAGGUACUUCAGGGGUAGGGGUGAAAUCUUGUAAUCCUUGAAGGACCACCAGUGGCGAAGGCGUCUCACCAGAACGGACCUGACGGCAAGGGACGAAAGCUAGGGGCACGAACCGGAUUAGAUACCCGGGUAGUCCUAGCCGUAAACGAUACUCGCUAGGUGUCGGCCACGGUGCGACCGUUGUCGGUGCCGUAGGGAAGCCGUGAAGCGAGCCACCUGGGAAGUACGGCCGCAAGGCUGAAACUUAA